CAAUAGCGUAUAUUUAAGUUGUUGCAGUUAAAAAGCUCGUAGUUGGAUUUCGGUUAAGAGCGACCGGUCCGCCGUUUGGUGUGCACUGGUUGGUUUUAACUUCCUGUAGAGGACGUGCUCUGGGUUUAACGACCUGGACUCGGAGUCUACGUGGUUACUUUGAAAAAAUUAGAGUGUUCAAAGCGGGCUUACGCUUGAAUAUUUCAGCAUGGAAUAACACUAUAGGACUCCUGUCCUAUUUCGUUGGUCUCGGGACGGGAGUAAUGAUUAAGAGGAACAGUUGGGGGCAUUCGUAUUUCAUUGUCAGAGGUGAAAUUCUUGGAUUUAUGAAAGACGAACUUCUGCGAAAGUAUUUGCCAAGGAUGUUUNCAUUAA
rnacentral:rRNA from 1 species